CCAGCUGCGCCCGCGACCGGCCGCGCCUUUAACCGCUCGGGCGAGGGCGCUCACCUACCCGCGCUCUCGGCGCCAGAUUUGCGGGAAAUCUCACGUCCACGACUUUUAAAGCGGCCGCGGGGUUUGGGGGGCGGUUAUUGAAGCCUGUGGACCCGCCCUGCCUGCGGUGCUGAACCGUGGGCGCCCGGAAGCCCCGACCGCGAUGCUCAAAGCGGCGGUGGGGCUGCAGCAACGCAUCCAGGCGGUGGAAGGCGGCGGAGAGAGCCCUCCAGAUGAGAGCACCCUUCCCAGCGACGGAGGCCUUGGAAAAGGAUGUGGCUUUCUCCGAGGAGCAACAGGUUAUGGCUUCCCUGGUGGCGCAAUGGUUAAGAAUCCGCCUGCCAAUGCAGGGGACACGGGUUCAAGCCCUGGCCCGGGAAGAUCCCACGUGCCACGGAGCAACUAAGCCCGAGCGUCGGCGACAACUACUGAGCCUGCGCUCUAGAGCCCGCGGGCCACAGCUACUGAAGCCCGUGCGCCACAAUUACCGAAACCCGAGCUCCGCAACAAGAGAAGCCACCGCAAAGAGAAGCCCGUACACUGCAAUGAAGAGGAGCCCCCGCUCGUCGCAACUAGGGAAAGCCCGCGCGCAGCAACGAAGACCCAAC